GAUGAAGAACGUAGUGAAAUGCGAUAAGUAGUGUGAAUUGCAGAAUUCAGUGAAUCAUCGAAUCUUUGAACGCACAUUGCGCCUUCUAGUAUUCUGGGAGGCAUGCCUGUUUGAGCGUCAUUAAACCUCUCUCAAGUAUGAUUACUUGGAUGUGAAGGAAGAGUACCUUAAACUUAAGGAGUGUUCUCCUUUGAAAUUGAUUAGCAGAUGGUAAUGUUAUUAAAUCCCUGAUGUUGUAAGAAACAACAGUGGUUUUGUAGACUAUUAUCUAGCUUUAAAUUAUAAUUUUUAUUAUGGUUGACCUCAAAUCAGGUAAGGAUACCCGCUGAACUUAAGCAUAUCAAUAAGCGGAGGA
rnacentral:misc_RNA from 1 species